rnacentral:rRNA from 1 species
GACGAACGCUGGCGGCGUGCUUAACACAUGCAAGUCGAACGGAAAGGCCCUGCUUUUGUGGGGUGCUCGAGUGGCGAACGGGUGAGUAACACGUGAGUAACCUGCCCUUUACUUUGGGAUAGCUUCAGGAAACUGGGGCUAAUACCGGAUAGGAGCUCCUGCUGCAUGGUGGGGGUUGGAAAGUUUCGGCGGUUGGGGAUGGACUCGCGGCUUAUCAGCUUGUUGGUGGGGUAGUGGCUUACCAAGGCUUUGACGGGUAGCCGGCCUGAGAGGGUGACCGGCCACAUUGGGACUGAGAUACGGCCCAGACUCCUACGGGAGGCAGCAGUGGGGAAUAUUGCACAAUGGGCGGAAGCCUGAUGCAGCAACGCCGCGUGCGGGAUGACGGCCUUCGGGUUGUAAACCGCUUUCGCCUGUGACGAAGCGUGAGUGACGGUAAUGGGUAAAGAAGCACCGGCUAACUACGUG